UAUAAUCUACAUAAUAUUGUCUGUAGCAUAACAGAAUCUAUGUCAUAUGUUAUAACCACAUUCAAAUGAGCUAGGAACAUUAUAAAUGUAUAUAUUAUGUCAUUAUUGAAACGUGACCUAUAUUGAAAUAUUGAAUUGUUUUUAAAAAUUAAAUAAAAAAUUAUGGAAACAUUAUCCAAGCUAAAGCUACAUAAUUCGACAAAUCUCAAAAAAUAAGUAGUGUUACUGGCUUGCAAGAAAAGCAACAGCAGUUCGCUAGACGUCAAAAUGGUGCUAGUUGUCAGGCUUUUCUUUCUGUCGUAGUUUCAAAAAUACGAAAAAUAAGUGUAUGGAAUACGAAAUUUUAUGUAUUAACAUACAAGCAGUGUGUUUUUGUUUUUAAAUUUAACGAAAGUAAAGCUUUUCGUGAUGUACUUAGUUGAAAUAACAUAAUUUUUUCAUUUUGAAAUGGCGGAUGACACGAAUCGUCGCGACGCAAUAAAUAUGGCCGCUGAAAUGGUUUAUUUACGUGGCAUUUAAUCACAAAUCUUUGAUUUUUCGUCUAAAAGAGGAUUACGUUUAAUUACAUAUGAAGUUACGUUGGCAGUAUUGGACACGCUUGAAUGUUGGCAGUAUACGAAAAGGCGGGCUUUUCAAAAUAUCGCUGUAUAAUUUGGUUCAUUGAAUCCUUUCUAGCUAAACUUUAUUUUAUUCAAAACAUUAAUUAAUGUAUAUAAUUAAUGAAAGUGUAUAAUAAACAGCUAAAUAAAACUAUAAA